rnacentral:tRNA from 1 species
GGGGCCUUAGCUCAGCUGGGAGAGCGCCUGCUUUGCACGCAGGAGGUCAGCGGUUCGAUCCCGCGAGGCUCCACCA